rnacentral:rRNA from 1 species
GUUCUGAAUGGAAGGGCCAUCGCUCAACGGAUAAAAGGUACUCCGGGGAUAACAGGCUGAUACCGCCCAAGAGUUCAUAUCGACGGCGGUGUUUGGCACCUCGAUGUCGGCUCAUCACAUCCUGGGGCUGAAGUAGGUCCCAAGGGUAUGGCUGUUCGCCAUUUAAAGUGGUACGCGAGCUGGGUUUAGAACGUCGUGAGACAGUUCGGUCCCUAUCUGCCGUGGGCGCUGGAGAACUGAGGGGGGCUGCUCCUAGUACGAGAGGACCGGAGUGGACGCAUCACUGGUGUUCGGGUUGUCAUGCCAAUGGCACUGCCCGGUAGCUAAAUGCGGAAGAGAUAAGUGCUGAAAGCAUCUAAGCACGAAACUUGCCCCGAGAUGAGUUCUCCCUGACUCCUUGAGAGUCCUGAAGGAACGUUGAAGACGACGACGUUGAUAGGCCGGGUGUGUAAGCGCAGCGAUGCGUUGAGCUAACCGGUACUAAUGAACCGUGAGGCUUAACCUUACAACGCCGAAGGUGUUUUG